rnacentral:ncRNA from 12 species
CGAAUUUGAGGGCUGAAAGGGUUGCAGCCGCCCCUUACGCUCUGCGUAAGGUUAGGAGAUGUGGAAGUUACUGUCCCACCAAAUUCA